rnacentral:rRNA from 1 species
AGAGUUUGAUCAUGGCUCAGAUUGAACGCUGGCGGCAGGCUUAACACAUGCAAGUCGAACGGUAACAGGAGAAAGCUUGCUUUCUUGCUGACGAGUGGCGGACGGGUGAGUAAUGCUUGGGAAUCUGGCUUAUGGAGGGGGAUAACUACGGGAAACUGUAGCUAAUACCGCGUAAUAUCUUCGGAUUAAAGGGUGGGACUUUCGGGCCACCUGCCAUAAGAUGAGCCCAAGUGGGAUUAGGUAGUUGGUGGGGUAAAGGCCUACCAAGCCGACGAUCUCUAGCUGGUCUGAGAGGAUGACCAGCCACACUGGAACUGAGACACGGUCCAGACUCCUACGGGAGGCAGCAGUGGGGAAUAUUGCACAAUGGGGGGAACCCUGAUGCAGCCAUGCCGCGUGAAUGAAGAAGGCCUUCGGGUUGUAAAGUUCUUUCGGUGAUGAGGAAGGAGUUUGUUUUAAUAGAACAAGCAAUUGACGUUAGUCACAGAAGAAGCACCGGCUAACUCCGUGCCAGCAGCCGCGGUAAUACGGAGGGUGCGAGCGUUAAUCGGAAUGACUGGGCGUAAAGGGCACGCAGGCGGUGACUUAAGUGAGAUGUGAAAGCCCCGAGCUUAACUUGGGAAUUGCAUUUCAUACUGGGUCGCUAGAGUAUUUUAGGGAGGGGUAGAAUUCCACGUGUAGCGGUGAAAUGCGUAGAGAUGUGGAGGAAUACCGAAGGCGAAGGCAGCCCCUUGGGAAUAUACUGACGCUCAUGUGCGAAAGCGUGGGGAGCAAACAGGAUUAGAUACCCUGGUAGUCCACGCUGUAAACG